rnacentral:rRNA from 1 species
ACGGCUUAACUGUGAGCGUGCGGGCGAUACGGGCAGACUUGAGUACUGCAGGGGAGACUGGAAUUCCUGGUGUAGCGGUGGAAUGCGCAGAUAUCAGGAGGAACACCGGUGGCGAAGGCGGGUCUCUGGGCAGUAACUGACGCUGAGGAGCGAAAGCGUGGGGAGCGAACAGGAUUAGAUACCCUGGUAGUCCACGCCGUAAACGGUGGGUACUAAGUGUGGGUUUCCUUCCUUGGGAUCCGUGCCGUAGCUAACGCAUUAAGUACCCCGCCUGGGGAGUACGGCCGCAAGGCUAAUACUCAAAGAAAUUGACGGGGGCCCGCACAAGCGGCGGAGCAUGUGGAUUAAUUCGAUGCAACGCGAAGAACCUUACCUGGGUUUGACAUGCACAGGACGCCGGCAGAGAUGUCGGUUCCCUUGUGGCCUGUGUGCAGGUGGUGCAUGGCUGUCGUCAGCUCGUGUCGUGAGAUGUUGGGUUAAGUCCCGCAACGAGCGCAACCCUUGUCUCAUGUUGCCAGCGGGUAAUGCCGGGGACUCGUGAGAGACUGCCGGGGUCAACUCGGAGGAAGGUGGGGAUGACGUCAAGUCAUCAUGCCCCUUAUGUCCAGGGCUUCACACAUGCUACAAUGGCCGGUACAAAGGGCUGCGAUGCCGCGAGGUUAAGCGAAUCCUUUUAAAGCCGGUCUCAGUUCGGAUCGGGAUCUGCAACUCGACCCCGUGAAGUCGGAGUCGCU